ensembl:lncRNA LINC02739 long intergenic non-protein coding RNA 2739
GCGUCGAAGUCGGGGCUGUGGGGGCGGGGUGGGUCCGGGGCGCGCUCACCGGAUCGCCGGCGAGCUACGGCUACCACCCGUCAUCUCUUUUCAGCUAAUCUGCUUCGCGCUACUUUUUUGAGGUGGGCACCUGGGAUGGAGGCAAGGAAUCACGAAGUGGCGUCUCCUCGGAAGGGGCAGCCUGAUGUCUUUAACCACUGAACUGUGGUUUCCAACUGGAUGCGCUUUGGGUUCAGGGCUAAGACACGCGUAGGCGGUGCAGACAGUUCAAUUCGUGGGCGGCUUUUUCUCUCCCCUGCGCGGUUUUGCAGAACUGAGGAUUCACGUUUGCCACGCAGUCUCUAAAUGUAAGGAGAACUUGCUUUAUUUAACGAAUGUGUAUUCAGCUGCCAAAGAACAAGCUAAUCACCCUUCCUCCCCACGCCCGACUUAGCCUCCUCCCAGCCCUCGCCGGAUUUCUGCAUCGGAAUUGGAUUGGAUCACACACAAAAGAAGAGCCCAGGAACUCGUUCACCACCUUGCACCUUGCCUGUUAGUUCACGGCAUAAUGGUAACAGAGUCUUCAUUAAUGGAAGCAACGUUACUACCGUGAGCCCGGAUAGCUCAGUCGGUAGAGCAUCAGACUUUUAAUCUGAGGGUCCAGGGUUCAAGUCCCUGUUCGGGCGGUAUCUUUUUUUUCCUCAUUAAAAGAGUAAGAACCAAUUUUAGGAUCUUUUGUUUGUUAACACACUGCAAAAGAAGGGAAUAAAGUCCUGGAUUGU